CUGGCUCCUACCAUCCUGGGUGCUUCUGGCACCAUUGGCCCCUGCUCCUCCUCCCCUCACUGUCAAGGAGCAAAGAGCACCCCUUUGGACUUACACCACCCACUUCAGAUUUCCCCACCAGUGCCCCAGACUCCUUCAAUGCCAUAACUUCAAGCCAACAGAUGGUCCCUUCUACUCAAGGAGGUUCAAAGAUGUUGUCUACAUUGGAUUCAGCUGCCUGGCUUUGGUAACUCCUAUAUCUUUCACCUGUAUUGUUACCUGCAGAUACUGCAACCACAUGUCAGAGCCAGUGUGAGGUGAUAGAAAGAACAUGAUCCAGUGUGUCAGAGAAGACAGGUCCCAGUUCCUGCCCAUCUUUUACCAGACAUCGAUAAAUGGUGAUGAGUACACCCGGCUUUAUAGGGUUCUGUGAGGACCACGAGAAAUGACAAAUGUGGAAAUGUCUUGUGAAACCGGGAAGCCCUUUGUAAAGCCAGAAACAACUCCUGGGUUCCACAGCCUCGCCCAGGAUCUGCCUCUAAAAAGCUAUUACAAACUCACAGUUGGGAAGGGGAGUCUGUGUUAGACCAGGAGCUCCGUCCCCGGACGAGGUCUAAAGCCCAAGCUUCAGCACCCUUUUCCUGAAUAAACUCUGGCUUCAGUUCCGUCUUCUCAUUUUUGUAACGUGCUAAGAACACCCAGCUCACAGGUCAACAGGCUGAGGAUCAAAUGAGCCCCUGGCCAUGGCGCGCCUGGCACACGACCAUGGAGGGGACCUUGCUGCCUUUCAACCUUCUCAGCCCUGGCCUUGGCCCGCAGUUCAUGUUAUAACCACUAGAGGGAGCGCCAAGACUUCCAUUUUGAACACGCUUCCACCCACCAGCGACCCCAGCUGCUCUCCCAGAGCCAGGAGGAAAGCCCUUUAGGAAGGAGCUGUGGUUGCCCACCUUGAGCGUGCCUGGAAGGCAUCUGUUCUGUGUUCUGUAAGCUCAAGAGAAACAGCCAGACACUGCAUGUAGGGAAAUUCCUGACCUCGGGGGACUCCCUGCCCACCCACCAACCUACAUGCCAAGUUGCCCCAGGUAGGUUACUCCUCUAGCCUCCUCACUUGAGAGGGGGCCGGCGCCUGUGGACAUGCUUCGUAAACCGUGUCUGAGCUGCCCAUGCACGUUGUGGCUGGUCUGUGCAUCGUUCCCAUUCUAUGGGCUGUACCGUGUGGGAAUCCCUCAUAGAAGAAAAGAGAAGGAAAACUCGCCUGUCAGUGGCCUGACCAAGAAGUUCCCCCCGAACAUCACAGAUGCUCAGACAAGACCACCCCACAACUGCAAAAUUACCAAAACACCCGUCAUCCCUGACCAGCAUCCCUGCUUCUUUACCAGUGAAGUCUCUCGGCCAACUCCAAUCCCGCCCCCCUCGCCACCUCCCAGGCAGAAUUUCUUAAGAUACCCGUCACUGAAUGCCUCUGUGUCCUCAUAGCCUCUGACCCAGAACUGACCCUGUCUCCUGCAUCCCUCCUGAGCCUCAUCCAUCAGGAGCCCAGAUCCUCUAUGUCCUUCCCAACUGCCCCUUACGGAGAUGCUCCCUCAUUCCUCUGGCUCCUCACUGUUGCUCACAGUCUUCAGUCUGCAAGCACUGAGAAAGAAUUCCAUUCGGACUGACAUCAAACUGGGGAUAUUUGUUUGCUACGGCUGCGAGAACAAAAUACCAUAGACUGGGGUGGCUUAAUCAACGGAAUUUAUUUCUUACA